UCAGGUAAGGGUGGAAAGGUGCGGUAAGAGCGCACCAGCAGUCAGGUGACUGGCUGGCUUGGGUAAACCCCACACGGAGCAAGACCAAAUAGGGAAGGGAUGAUGCGGCCCGCGGAACCUUCCGGGUUGAGUCGCUUGAGCUGACGGGUAACCGUUAUGCCUAGAUAAAUGAUUGUCGCCUCCGCUUGCGGAUGGAACAAAACUCGGCUUAUUGAUUGCUUAUUCAA
rnacentral:RNase_P_RNA from 1 species